CUUGUACUCUGCAGAAGGUAACAGAGACCAUUUUGUUGUUAAUAUAUGUCUGAGCAAUCCUUCUUUCGACAAAAUAUACAACUCUCAGUAAAUUUCCUCUAAUUUCAGACUGUGCACUUCAAAAUAAUACCAUAAAGGCUCAUCAUUUCAAUCCAUUAUUGAUUACACCUUGGGGACUUUCCACCGAUUCCACUUGAUGCUACUUUUAAAAUGAAUAUUCUGGAGUCUACUCGGGCACUGAUCUUUCCAUGGAAAUAACAGAAAAUUCCAAGAAAUGGAAGCCGCUCAUAGUAAAAGAAGAAAAGCUGAGUAUCAUCAGGGUUAAUAGCUCCUAUUUGAGAUCCAUGAAUGAUUACAGAGGUUUUUUCCUAAAUCGAACUUUCAAGAUUCAUUAAUAAUAUGCUGCCUCUCUGGGACAUAGGUGCGCUCAUGGUACGAAGGCUAUUUAUUCAUCGCAUGGA
rnacentral:lncRNA from 1 species